UACGAAGGGGGCUAGCGUUGCUCGGAAUCACUGGGCGUAAAGCGCACGUAGGCGGCUUUCUAAGUCAGGGGUGAAAUCCUGGAGCUCAACUCCAGAACUGCCUUUGAUACUGGAGAGCUUGAGUCCGGAAGAGGUGAGUGGAACUCCGAGUGUAGAGGUGAAAUUCGUAGAUAUUCGGAAGAACACCAGUGGCGAAGGCGGCUCACUGGUCCGGUACUGACGCUGAGGUGCGAAAGCGUGGGG
rnacentral:rRNA from 1 species